CAAUAGCGUAUAUUUAAGUUGUUGCAGUUAAAAAGCUCGUAGUCGGAUUUUGGCUGAGAACGAUCGGUCCGCCGUUAGGUGUGCACUGAUUGGUCUCAGCUUCCUGGUGAGGAGGUGUGCUUCACGGCCACUUAGUCACCGUGGUUACUUUGAAAAAAUUAGAGUGUUCAAAGCGGGCUUACGCUUGAAUAUAUUAGCAUGGAAUAACACCAUAGGACUCCUGUCCUAUUUCGUUGGUCUCGGGACGGGAGUAAUGAUUAAGAGGAACAGUUGGGGGCAUUCGUAUUUCAGUGUCAGAGGUGAAAUUCUUGGAUUUAUGAAAGACGAACUUCUGCGAAAGCAUUUGCCAAGGAUGUUUUCAUUGA
rnacentral:rRNA from 1 species